rnacentral:pre_miRNA from 1 species
UUAGAGACUAGUAACUCCCUCACAACGGGCCAGCUGAACACUUUUAUGUCUUCCUGGUCGUAUUGAGGGAGAGAAAAAUGUUUUCC